rnacentral:rRNA from 1 species
GAUCAGUGGCUCAGAACACGCUGGCGGCAUGCCUAACACAUGCAAGUCGAACGAACCCUUCGGGGUUAGUGGCGCACGGGUGCGUAACGCGUGGGAACCUACCAUCAGGUUCGGAAUAACAGUUAGAAAUGACUGCUAAUACCGGAUAAUGUCUUCGGACCAAAGAUUUAUCGCCUUUUGAUGGGCCCGCGUAAGAUUAGGUAGUUGGUGGGGUAAAAGCCUACCAAGCCGACGAUCUUUAGCUGGUCUGAGAGGAUGAUCAGCCACACUGGGACUGAGACACGGCCCAGACUCCUACGGGAGGCAGCAGUGGGGAAUAUUGGACAAUGGGCGAAAGCCUGAUCCAGCAAUGCCGCGUGAGUGAUGAAGGCCUUAGGGUUGUAAAGCUCUUUUACCAGGGAUGAUAAUGACAGUACCUGGAGAAUAAGCUCCGGCUAACUCCGUG